rnacentral:rRNA from 1 species
AGCGAUGAGUGCUAAGUGUUAGAGGGUUUCCGCCCUUUAGUGCUGCAGCAAACGCAUUAAGCACUCCGCCUGGGGAGUACGGUCGCAAGACUGAAACUCAAAGGAAUUGACGGGGGCCCGCACAAGCGGUGGAGCAUGUGGUUUAAUUCGAAGCAACGCGAAGAACCUUACCAGGUCUUGACAUCCUCUGACAACCCUAGAGAUAGGGCUUCCCCUUCGGGGGCAGAGUGACAGGUGGUGCAUGGUUGUCGUCAGCUCGUGUCGUGAGAUGUUGGGUUAAGUCCCGCAACGAGCGCAACCCUUGAUCUUAGUUGCCAGCAUUCAGUUGGGCACUCUAAGGUGACUGCCGGUGACAAACCGGAGGAAGGUGGGGAUGACGUCAAAUCAUCAUGCCCCUUAUGACCUGGGCUACACACGUGCUACAAUGGGCAGAACAAAGGGCAGCGAAGCCGCGAGGCUAAGCCAAUCCCACAAAUCUGUUCUCAGUUCGGAUCGCAGUCUGCAACUCGACUGCGUGAAGCUGGAAUCGCUAGUAAUCGC